rnacentral:rRNA from 1 species
GACGAACGCUGGCGGCGUGCUUAACACAUGCAAGUCGAACGGAAAGGUCCUGCUUUUGUGCGGUCCUCUAGUGGCGACCUGGUGAGUAACACGUGAGUACCCUGCCCUUGACUUUGGGAUAACUUCAUGAAACUUGGUCUCAUCCCGCAUAGGAUCUCCUGCUGCAUGGUGGGGGUUGGUAAGUUUCGCCGGUUGGGGAUUGACUCGCGGCUUAUCAGCUUGUUGGUGGGGUAGUGGCUUACCAAGGCUUUGAAGGGUAGCAGGGCUGGGAGGGUGACCGGCCACAUUAGGACGGAGAUACGACCCAGACUACUACGGGAGGCAGCGGUGGAGAAUAGUGCACAAUGGGAGGAAGGAAGAUGCGACAACGCAGCGUGCGGGAAGAGAGGCUUGGGGUUGGAAACCGAAGUCGCCUUUGACGAAGCGUGAAUGACGGUAAUGGGUAAAGAAGCACCGGCUAACUACGUG